rnacentral:rRNA from 1 species
GUGGGGAAUAUUCCGCAAUGGACGAAAGUCUGACGGAGCAACGCCGCGUGAGUGAUGAAGGUUUUCGGACUGUAAAGCUCUGUUGUUUAGGACGAAAGUGCCUGUUGCAAACAGUUACAGGUAUUGACGGUACUAAACGAGGAAGCCACGGCUAACUACGUGCCAGCAGCCGCGGUAAUACGUAGGUGGCAAGCGUUGUCCGGAAUUAUUGGGCGUAAAGAGCAUGUAGGCGGGAAUCUAAGUCUGUUGUGAAAAUGCGGGGCUCAACCCCGUAUUGCGAUGGAAACUGGGUUUCUUGAGUGCAGGAGAGGAAAGGGGAAUUCCCAGUGUAGCGGUGAAAUGCGUAGAUAUUGGGAGGAACACCAGUGGCGAAGGCGCCUUUCUGGACUGUGUCUGACGCUGAGAUGCGAAAGCUAGGGGAGCGAACGGGAUUAGAUACCCGGGUAGUCC